AUUAAGCAUAUAAGUAGGCGGAGGAAAUGGCACAAAGUGGGGUUCCUCAGUUAGUUGCGAAUGAAAGAGAGAGAGGACUUCAGCUUGAUAUUCAAGGGCUCUGCCUUUGACAUGAAGAUUUGACAGUGUGCCAAAGGGAGGGUGGUGGAAAGUGGAUACUGUCUUGGAAGAGGGGUGUGAAAAAGGCAACGAGGGUGACAACCCUUUGACACUUGAUAUGUCUUCCUGCACGGCACCUUGUCUAGACUCAUGCUCUUUGAUAGUGGAGUGCAAAGUGGGUGGUAAAUCUCACUCAAAGCCAGAUACAAACAUUGGGGCCGACAGUGUACAAGUAUCGUGAGGGAAGUGUGAAAAGGACUUUGGAAAGAGAAUUAGAGGAGCCUGAACUUGCUGAAGAGCAAGCAUACAGGGUGGGAGAGUUUGGAGAGAUUUCCCUGCACGACCAUGCUUGUGGUCACCUUCGGUGCAAAAGGUUGUAUGGUGCAUACUGGCAUGAUGUGUGUGAGUGUCUCUUCUUGGAUCAAUCAUGAGGUUGAGGUUUGAGUCUGAGCGUGGCUGCUAGGACCCGAAAGAUGGUGAACUAUGCCUGGCAAGGGUCAAGGCAGGGGAAACUCUGAUGGAGGCUCGCAGCGUUACUGACGUGCAAAUCGUUCGUCGCAUUUGGGUAUAGGGGCGAAAGACUAAUCGAACCUUCUAGUAGCUGU
rnacentral:rRNA from 1 species